GCCAGUGUGGUGAAAUUGGUAGACACGCACGUUUCAGGGACGUGUUCCUUUACGGGAGUGGGAGUUCGACUCUCCCCACUGGCA
rnacentral:tRNA from 2 species